GGAAAAGUGCCUGAAAGUUAAGGAUCUCCUUGAUAAGGGGAAAAAUAGGGGUUCAAACCCCCUCUCUUCCU
rnacentral:tRNA from 1 species